GCAAGUCGAACGAGUUCUCGUUGAUGAUCGGUGCUUGCACCGAGAUUCAACAUGGAACGAGUGGCGGACGGGUGAGUAACACGUGGGUAACCUGCCCUUAAGUGGGGGAUAACAUUUGGAAACAGAUGCUAAUACCGCAUAGAUCCAAGAACCGCAUGGUUCUUGGCUGAAAGAUGGCGUAAGCUAUCGCUUUUGGAUGGACCCGCGGCGUAUUAGCUAGUUGGUGAGGUAAUGGCUCACCAAGGCGAUGAUACGUAGCCGAACUGAGAGGUUGAUCGGCCACAUUGGGACUGAGACACGGCCCAAACUCCUACGGGAGGCAGCAGUAGGGAAUCUUCCACAAUGGACGCAAGUCUGAUGGAGCAACGCCGCGUGAGUGAAGAAGGCUUUCGGGUCGUAAAACUCUGUUGUUGGAGAAGAAUGGUCGGCAGAGUAACUGUUGUCGGCGUGACGGUAUCCAACCAGAAAGCCACGGCUAACUACGUGCCAGCAGCCGCGGUAAUACGUAGGUGGCAAGCGUUAUCCGGAUUUAUUGGGCGUAAAGCGAGCGCAGGCGGUUUUUUAAGUCUGAUGUGAAAGCCCUCGGCUUAACCGAGGAAGCGCAUCGGAAACUGGGAAACUUGAGUGCAGAAGAGGACAGUGGAACUCCAUGUGUAGCGGUGAAAUGCGUAGAUAUAUGGAAGAACACCAGUGGCGAAGGCGGCUGUCUGGUCUGUAACUGACGCUGAGGCUCGAAA
rnacentral:rRNA from 1 species